UACGUAGGGUGCAAGCGUUGUUCGGAAUUACUGGGCGUAAAGGGCGCGUAGGCGGCCUUCUAAGUCAGACGUGAAAUCCCCCGGCUUAACCUGGGAACUGCGUCUGAUACUGGGAGGCUCGAGUAUGGGAGAGGGAUGUAGAAUUCCAGGUGUAGCGGUGAAAUGCGUAGAUAUCUGGAGGAAUACCGGUGGCGAAGGCGGCAUCCUGGACCAUAACUGACGCUGAGGCGCGAAAGCUAGGGGAGCAAACGGG
rnacentral:rRNA from 1 species